rnacentral:rRNA from 1 species
ACGCUGGCGGCAGGCCUAACACAUGCAAGUCGAGCGGAAACGAUGGGAGCUUGCUCCCAGGCGUCGAGCGGCGGACGGGUGAGUAAUGCAUAGGAAUCUGCCCGGUAGUGGGGGAUAACCUGGGGAAACCCAGGCUAAUACCGCAUACGUCCUACGGGAGAAAGCAGGGGCUCUUCGGACCUUGCGCUAUCGGAUGAGCCUAUGUCGGAUUAGCUGGUUGGUGAGGUAAUGGCUCACCAAGGCGACGAUCCGUAGCUGGUCUGAGAGGAUGAUCAGCCACAUCGGGACUGAGACACGGCCCGAACUCCUACGGGAGGCAGCAGUGGGGAAUAUUGGACAAUGGGCGCAAGCCUGAUCCAGCCAUCCCGCGUGUGUGAAGAAGGCCCUCGGGUUGUAAAGCACUUUCAGGGGGGAAGAAAGCCUUGCGGUUAAUACCCGCAAGGAAGGACAUCACCCACAGUAAGAAGCACCGGCUAACUCCGUGCCAGCAGCCGCGGUAAUACGGAGGGUGCGAGCGUUAAUCGGAAUUACUGGGCGUAAAGCGCGCGUAGGUGGCUUGAUAAGCCGGUUGUGAAAGCCCCGGGCUCAACCUGGGAACGGCAUCCGGAACUGUCAGGCUAGAGUGCAGGAGAGGAAGGUAGAAUUCCCGGUGUAGCGGUGAAAUGCGUAGAGAUCGGGAGGAAUACCAGUGGCGAAGGCGGCCUUCUGGACUGACACUGACACUGAGGUGCGAAAGCGUGGGUAGCAAACAGGAUUAGAUACCCUGGUAGUCCACGCCGUAAACGAUGUCGACUAGCCCGUUGGGUCCUUCGCGGACUUUGUGGCGCAGUUAACGCGAUAAGUCGACCGCCUGGGGAGUACGGCCGCAAGGUUAAAACUCAAAUGAAUUGACGGGGGCCCGCACAAGCGGUGGAGCAUGUGGUUUAAUUCGAUGCAACGCGAAGAACCUUACCUACCCUUGACAUCCUGCGAACCCUUCGGAGACGAAGGGGUGCCUUCGGGAGCGCAGAGACAGGUGCUGCAUGGCUGUCGUCAGCUCGUGUUGUGAAAUGUUGGGUUAAGUCCCGUAACGAGCGCAACCCUUGUCCCUAUUUGGCAGCGAUUCGGUCGGGAACUCUAGGGAGACUGCCGGUGACAAACCCGAGGAAGGUGGGGACGACGUCAAAUCAUCAUGGCCCUUACGGGUAGGGUUACACACGUGCUACAAUGGUCAGUACAAAGGGUUGCGAACUUGCGAAAAGUGAGCUAAUCCCAGAAAGCUGAUCUCAGUCCGGAUCGGAGUCUUCAACUCGACUCCGUGAAGUCGGAAUCGCUAGUAAUCCGUGAAUCAGAAUGUCACGGUGAAUACGUUCCCGGGCCUUGUACACACCGCCCGUCACACCAUGGGAGUGGACUGCAGCAGAAGUGGUUAGCCUAACCUUCGGGAGAACGAUCACCACGGUGUGGUUCAUGACUGGGGUGAAGUCGUAACAAGGUAUCCGU